CACAUCCAGCCCUGGCCAGGCAUUUCUGCCGCAGGCAGAUGCGGCGCUGCGGCCGGACCGCUGUCCCCGGUGCUGAAAGGUCGAGGGCGCCCGCGCGAGCCCUCGGUAUUGCUAUCCAGGGUGCUGAGCGCGGGCCGCCGCAGUCCCCGAAGCCAGCCCACCCGCGCCAGCCCUCCGCAGAGCCCUCCCACCUGGCACGACCCGCCCGCCUCCCGCCAGCCUGCAGUUGACGUGGAGCAGGCGGCAUAAAUCAAGUCUGCGGGGCAUGGAGGCUGCUGUCGCUGCAGCAGCUCAGCUUGCCCGGGGCGGGAACUCCCCCUUUCUCCUUUCGCUUCCCCAGCACCCACACCCUGCCUCCUCCUUAAUUCUUCCCUGGAUAAUAGUACCCUAACGACAACAGUCAAAAUAAUAGGGUUAGAACGACGGGGGGGAACCCAACAGCCUAAAUAUCUCUGAAAACUGCAUCGCAAAAUGGAAGAAAGAGGGGGUCCCACUACUGUUUCAAAAGAGUAAGUUAUUAUUCGGAGCCAUGGAAGCCAAAUGCUGAGGAUGGUGGCAUCAUAGGAUGAAUGGAGCUGGGUUCUUGAAGCACUGCUUGGAGGAAAGACAGCAAAAAUGCCUCAUGAAUCCAACUGGACUGUUAUGUGAGAAAUAAACUUUCAUUGUGUUAAACCACUAUAA